rnacentral:SRP_RNA from 1 species
GCCAGGUGUGGUGUUGCACUCCUGUAGUCCCAGCUAGAUGGGAGGAUUGCUUGAGUCCAGGAGUUCAGGGCUGAGGUGCACUAUGCCCAUUGGGUGUCGCAUCAAUAUGGUGACAUCCCUCGGGGGACCACCAGGUUGCCUAAGGAGGAUUGAACUGGCCCAGGUUGGAAUGGGAACAGGUCAAAACUGUGCUGAUGAGUGGUAGGACGUGCCUGUGAAUAGCCACUGCACUCCAACCUGGGCAACAGCGAGACCCCGUCUCU